UACGGAGGUGGCAAGCGUUGCUCGGAAUCACUGGGCGUAAAGGGCGCGUAGGCGGUCGGGCAAGUCCUGUGUGAAAUCCCUCGGCUCAACUGAGGAACUGCACGGGAAACUGCCUGACUUGAGUUCGGGAGAGGGAAGCGGAAUUCCGGGUGUAGCGGUGAAAUGCGUAGAUAUCCGGAGGAACACCGGUGGCGAAGGCGGCUUCCUGGACCGACACUGACGCUGAGGCGCGAAAGCGUGGGGAGCGAACAGG
rnacentral:rRNA from 1 species